UUCCCAAAUUUUCUCCUUUCCCCCAAAUUUUAUAAAAAAACCCUAACUUCCCCCAUAUUUCUAUUCGAAUAUGUUUAGAGUUCACGAUUCUCUUCCCCAAAUUUCCUCUUUUCCCCCAAAGACUUCACGAUCUUCUCUUCCAUCUGCUCGCAAGCCCUCAUUCAUCGCAAGUUGCUGCUGAAGAUUGGUUGGGUUCGUCCGCCGCUGAAGACUUGUUGCAUUCGUCCACCAUUGAAGACUUGUUGGGUUCAUCCGCCGCUCAAGGAAUGUUGUGUUUGUCCGCCAUAGUUCAAAAGUUCGUUGCGCACUUUCUCUGUUUGCAACAGGUUCGGACUGAAGAUUUGUUGCGUUCGUCAGCCGCUCAAGGAAAGUUGUGUUCGUCCGCCGUAGUUCAGAAAUUUAUCAUGCACCGUUUCAGCUUGCAACAGAACACUUUGGGCAUCAACCAGAACAUUUAAAACCAGAAUUGCUGUCUAAUGGUCGUGAACCUUGCUUUCGCUAUCCAAUUAUCGUUGUCGGUAUGUUUGGAGUUGGGGCAAUGGAAAUAGCAUAUGCAGAGCUGAAGAGAUAUUGUCUUUCUCAAAUGCGUUUCAUAGGGGUUCAAGUUUAUGUUCACAACUUCAUGGAAGGAGAAAGAAUGAUGAGAAUCUUCAACUACAAAACCCGAAAGCAUAAAUGUAUUUCAAGAAGUUGAUGAUAACAAUCGUGAGACUUUGAGUUUGGAGUUAUCUAAGAGUGUGGGGCUUGGAGGAGGGUGAUGUCUUUGUUUCUUAUUAUUACAUAUACUUUGUGUUUUAUGAUUAAGAAUGAUGAUCAUAACUUGUUUUGUAAUAUGAAUAAGAACGAUGUUCCUAAUUAGUUGUAAGUAUGUAAUGAUCAACUAUAUGUAUAUUCAAGGAUAUAUAUGCAAUUUGUUAGUUCUUUGAUUGAAA